rnacentral:tRNA from 1 species
ACUUAAAUAAUUUAAAAAAAAUAUUGAUUUGUGGAAUCAAAAAUAUGAGGUAAGUAAUCAUUUUAGGUU